UACGUAGGGGGCAAGCGUUGUCCGGAAUCAUUGGGCGUAAAGCGCGUGUAGGCGGUUCAGUAAGUCUGCUGUGAAAGUCCAGGGCUCAACCCUGGGAUGCCGGUGGAUACUGCUGGACUAGAGUGCGGAAGAGGCGAGUGGAAUUCCGCGUGUAGCAGUGAAAUGCGUAGAGAUGCGGAGGAACACCGAUGGCGAAGGCAGCCCCCUGGGCUAGCACUGACGCUCAGGCACGAAAGCGUGGGGAGCAAACAGG
rnacentral:rRNA from 1 species